rnacentral:lncRNA from 10 species
CACGGAUAGGAGUGGCGCACGCGUAGGAGCGGGGCGCGGGCAGCAGCCAGACCUACAAAGCCUGAGAUGACCGGGGACACCCCCGCACCCCAUCGUACCUCACGCCCCCCACCUCCCCUGCAGCUUGGGUGUCCUGCUUUUCCCGGAGCCCAGAGAGAGUUCCUCCACUUCAGGAAUGCGUCCUGCCAUCCCCUCUGCUCCUGGUAUCCCUGUGGGCCACUCCCCUGGCCCCUGCAGAUCUCUGCCCAGAUGGCAUCUCUCGCCGAGGCCUGUCCUGACCAGCCGGUACAAAACAGCAGCCCUGUCACCGCCCCUUCACCGCUCGGUGGCUUCUAUGACCUUCCACCAGAAAGCCGUCUCCUUGAAGGCAGAGUUUCAUCUCUGCUGUCCACAGCUGUGUCCCCACACUGACGACAGUGCCUGGCAUGUAGUAGUUAGUCAAUAAAUAUUUUUCAAAUAAAUGAUGUCCCUACUGCCCCACCCCAGGCCACCGGCAAACUCCUUAAACCACAAGGACAGCUUUGUGGCCUCUCCUCUGCAAAGCUCUCCCUGACCACACGCGUGUCCUCCAGGCAGGAAGAGCCUCCUCACUAGCCGAAGAGUCCCUCCGAGGUAGCGAUGGUGUCCCAUCCACCUUUC